rnacentral:lncRNA from 1 species
GAAAAGAAGCUAGCAAGCUACUUUGCCUCAGUUAUUCCUGUCAGAACACUGGACGGGAAAAAACCUGCCCUUGGCACCACCGCACCGUCUCUAUAGCCAGAGCGCGCCGGCGUUCUUGAGCAUGGGCACGAGCUCGCCGCCGAGGUGGAGGGACAUGAUCCUGUUGGUGCCGCCGACGAGCUUGCCUCCGAUGAAGACGGCAGGGACGGCAGGGCCCCUGCCGCCGAGCAUCUUGAGCAGGGCGCGCUCCAUCUCCUUGCCCCUGGGGUCGCUGUCCAGCUCGUGCACAAGAGCGUUCACGCUCAGGUCCUGCAUUAGCUUCGUCACCGUGUGGCACAUGCAGCAGGAGCUCAGCGUGAACACCACCACUGCCCUCUCUGAUGCCAGCUUCAUCACGCGGUCCAUUUGCUAUGCUUUGGUUUCUUGGCUGCAAGAAGUGACCUCUCUAGGUCUCUCUCUCUCUCUCGCUCGCUCGCUCGCUUCUCGUUCUCUCUCUAGCUCUCGAGCUCUGUCAAGCUUCUGUUGAUGCACGUGGAGAGAUGAGUGUGUAUGGAUGGGUGGUUUGGGAGAACAGGGUAUGGCUGCCUUUUAUAGAGUUUGCAAGCAGGGGCUAUAGGGUUUCCAUAACGGGUCCGGGUCUUGCUAGAGCUGCAAGUAAGAUCGAGCAGAGAGUGUGAUGAGCUGGUCUGGGAGUUUCUGGAAAAAACAAAAUGUUCCAAGGAAUCUAUAAGCUGGUAUACGGCAGCACAGUGGCUACUAUGGCCAGCUAGGACCAUGCAUGCAUGACACAUCUUUAUUUGACUUUGAGAACGAUAUAACUAAUAUAAUAAGUUCAAGGCCCCACAUUUUGCAAUUUGAAUCCAAAAAGCUCUGUGGUUUGCUCAUUGAAAAGGAUGGUAUACAUGCAUGAGAUCAAUAUAUGUUUGGAUAACGCACGAGCCGUCUUUUCAAUAGGGCCCAAGGAAUAUAUCUCAGAACGCUAAGGUUGUGUUGACCUACUGAGAAUAUCAUAUGGAUGCAUAUGGCCUAUGGGCAUGCAGCUGUACCCCCAUUUUCUUGUCAUGGGAUAUAACACUUUAUUUCAUACAUCUCCUGUCAUGGUUUUAAUAGAUAAAUGAAGUUUCUGACAAAACAGUGUCUUGUUACUGGUGUAUAACUUCACCUAGAAGCAGUGUUCACCCUUUCGGAAUAGGAGAAAAUACUGGAGGUGGCCGGUAGGGCUGUUAUGCCAGUUUUCGGCCAAAAUUUUCAGAAUUUGGACAAAAUUUAACUGGAAUUUGAGGAUUGAAGUGAAUUCCGGUCGAAAUACUACCGGUAUAUUUAUCGUUCACCACCGAUAGGACCGAAAUUUGCCAAAAUUUGGUGAAAACCGACUGGUAGGUAUCUUUUUUUGCGAAAAAUGUGUAUGAUAUUGAUAUCUUCUUAUAGCCCUCGUCUGGAAGGUAUAUAUGAGGUAUGAGGUAAAAGAUGGACACGUGCAUUGACAAGAAUUUUGGGAAAAUUUUCCCAACCUUGGACAGGAGCUAGUAAGUCUAUCAGUUCGUGAGGUCCCAUUUCAUUUCUUUUUCUUUUUCUCGAGGAUAUGAAGGAGACUAUAUGCACUUGAUACCACCGGGAUUUUCCGGUUCCCAAUGUCAACCAUCCAAUUACUGCUGGGUUUUUGAUCCCCUAAGUUGUGAUACCUCGUGUUUUCUCCUUUCUUGAAGGAACAUUUCUUCCCAUUUGACAAAUGGCAAUGUAGGAUUGCUGGACGGAUAAUGUACAUAGCUUUGUAGUACAGGUUGGAUUGUGAUGGCUCGAAUCCAUAGCAACAAGGAUAAUGUACUGGACAUGACUACGUGAACAGAUGCUCCAUCUCGUCAUCUGUUCUGCGUGAUGAUCGAUAUUAUUCGCUCAAGUGAAGAGGAGAGCAAUUUCGCCAGAAAUUCCCAUGCACAUUGGUUCCCCUUGUAUGUUUUCUCAAAAUACGCAAGUUUGCGUAAGCCGGGAAUUUUGCUGGAAUAUCACUCCGGAACUGUGAAAGUCACCUUGUCCCAAACGGCCGACGACGAUGGGGAAUACCACUAUGGUACGGCCAGUGGUUCAUCUUACGACACAUGGAACCGAUUCCAGCUGGCUGAUCAAGCCAAUUUCGAAGUGUAGCCAGCCAGCCCUCAUCGCCUCGCUGACCGACCUUAUCUGCGGCAUGGAAUCCAACCACCUUGCACGCGGCUUUUCUCAGCAGGUUGAGCUGCCGCUGCUUUGUAAACCAGCCUGACCUUAUCAGAUAUGAGGCGUUGCGAUGCCACGAUCCGACAAUGCAAUCUUGGCUUUUCAUACUCUUGCUGAAUCCUUUUCCUGCAAAAAUCUUCCAUAAGCUAAAGCUAAGAAUGAAGGUUAGAUGAAAAGAUUCCGCGGCACUAUUGCUAUCUACCUGUAUGAUUCUUCAGGCAUCUGAAGAAAGUCAGACAUUAUCUGAACUUUUCUCUAGUUUUUUUUUCAUUUUUUCCAUGCAUGACGCAAACAUCCGGCACAAGCAUGGAAGAUUGGAUAUUUGGAUAGAGAUAUUCUUAUACCCAAUAUCUGCGUUGAUAGUUCUCACCUGGAAAGAAAGGAUGGAGAGAGAAAAAGCUAGUGUUCUGUAGAGCAAUCUCCAUUGCUCCAGAAUCCUUUGCUCCUUCUCCGUGUUUUUGCUUACUUCUUGACUCCUCAACUUCUCAAGGGGCACUUGUGGCUCCAAUUCCAAUAAGAUGGACUUUACCACUCUUGGCUCUUGCAAGAGGGAUGUUAGUUUACCUCUUAUCAUUUCAGGUGAAGGAAAUUCCAAAGUUUAAUUAAGUGCAAAUAACCACAGCUUGAUUCAUCUUCAAGUUGUCCAGUUCGGUGAACCCACUGCAAUUUGUUCAACUACAUCUCCUUUUUUUUAAUGUUCUACCGAGGGGAGAGAAUCCCCCACCUGAUUCAUUGAAAUGGUCCAUAACAGCCCGCAUGAUAGUGUUCACAUAAGGGUUACUUCGUAAGGUUUACAUUGUUGUAGUAAACAAAGUACACCAUGCAUCACAUAUGCUAGUUUCUGAUUCCUUCAUCCAGCAGUGCCACGGCACCGCGUCUGCCUUGCAGUGUCAGGUGCUCGUCGCGGAAGACAGCUCCAUUCCUUCUUUUCUAGAGCUGCCAACAGCACAGCAGAACCAUGGUUUCAAAGUGCAUGCUAGGUAUAUGAGCUGGGCGCGGUAGCUCAUCGAGCAUUGUGGUGGUGACGCCCUCAGGCAGUUCAAACUAAAGUGCCGGCCAGAAAGCUUGGGCAAAGGAGCAUUGGAAGAUGAUAUGUGUGGCUGUCUCCUCCGUUGCACCACACACCUCGCGGGUAGCUUCUGUUACCACAUUCUUCUUCAGGAGGUUGGCUCGGCACUGUACUCGGUUUUGGACAAGAAGCCAUGCAAAAAAAUUGCACUCGAGGCAGUGCUCUAUUCUUCCGGAUGAAUUUGGAUAUGGAGGAGUUAGUGCCUUGGGCUGCCAGUAGUAGUUUGUACAAUGGCCCCGUGUGCAGCUUCCCUCUCGGUGUCGCAAAUGGGCAGAGGUGCAUGUCUUCAUCGACUGAGAGGCUAACAGCGUCCCUGAUCCAGCACACAACAUCAAGCUCUUGAUGGGCCAUGGGUGUCAUGCAUGGCACCAGGUCUGGUUCCAAACCAAGGUCAAAGACUUCCUGGACUGUGUGAGUGGAUCGCUUGCAGUGACUCAAGAAAGUAGGAACUUGUCAGCUAGGCACUCUUCGCCGUGCAAAACAUCGAACCAGAAGGAUGUUGAGCGGUCAUUCCCAAUUUCCACCAUGGUGAUGGCUCGGUACAGUGGCAGAAGCUCCUGAAGUGCGUCACAGUGUUAGCCCAUGAUUUCCCCUUCCAGACUAGCAAUACUAGCGUGCCGGUGCACCCAUGUCGCCCACGACGAGCCUUGCAGAUGAUGCAGCCAGUGUAGAAGCUUUAAGAGAAGACAGGAGUUCUAUACACUCAGGUUGGUGAUGCCAAGCUCACCCUAAUCACGAGUCUCAUUGAAAGAGCAUCUAGGCCCCUUGUGGGUUUUGGUGAUUAAAUGACAAAAGCAAUUAAAGGACUAAUGAGCUUGUUGGGCUUUAGCAAUGUUUUACUAGAAAUGAAAAGGUCAAGCUCAUGUCAUAUGAAGCAUGCAAAAGUAAAGAAAUGACAAGCAAAGAUUGAAUUGAGUGAAAGAGACAAAGAUGGAAGUGAAAUUAUAGUAUCUCAUUGGUUUAUUUGCUUGUAUAAUCAAAGAAAGUUGAAAAUUGCAUGAGGAUUGAUCAAGAUUACAACAAUAAUAUAAGUGAUCAAGAGCAAUGGUGAAUUGAAUGGAAUUUCAAUCAUAGGUUGCUUGGUCACAUGGAUGGUAUUCCUUAUUAUCAUGAAAGAAGAUAUUUGACCAAGUACUUAGUAUUUCAAGGAAGGUUAAGAUAAAACAUUACUUGGUCAUAUGUUUGUAUAAGAAUGAUAUUCAAGUAUGAAUCAAGUUCAUUUAUUGAAGAAGUGAAUUUCAAAUGGGUAUUCAUUGUUGAUGCAAAAAAAAGCUUAACUUGAGAUGGCAAGAUAGGGUGAAGAAGUCAAACAAGGACUUAGCUACGAGGUACUAAGCAAGGGUGAAGGGAAAGUGGUGACUUGGGCCGACGAACCUUUGCAAGGGUGAAGAAGCUAGUACUUAGGAGAACUUUGAGGAACUAAUCUAGCCAUGAGGAGUUAAGAAAUUCAAAGUAUCAAAUAAUUGUUGAAUCAAAAAUUGAAGUGAAUUGAGGAUGUCAAGUUGAUUCUUGAUCAUAUAUGAUGAUGAACCUCAAAGACACUAGCUCAAGGAGGAUAAUGCUCAAGAAAGAGAAAAAAUAAAUACUUGAAACCCCCUCAAAGUAUGAUUUUGAAGAAAAGCGGCAUGAUGAAGAUAUUCAAGCUAAAGUGAUUUAUAUUGUAUUUAUUCUUUGAUCUUCAGUAUAGGUAAUGCCGUACUAUCAAGAGGGAUGCAACGUGGAUAGCUUCGCUUGUAUCUCGGUGCUCAAACCUAACAUUCCAAGUACUCACAUGAGAGAAACACUUAUCUUAAUACUUGCACUGGGUGGUAUUGGAGCUUGUUUUUAGUCGGAAUGGAUGCUCCUCUGAAUAAGCUUUCCAUCGAGUCCAAGAUCAUCGAAUUGGGAGCCUGGAGUGAAAAGUUAUGGCCUUUCCUCUUCAGUGACUUGUGCUGUCUAGUGGACUUUCGGAAAAUUCCGAAAAUUUUCCGAAGGUUCGGAAAUUUCUGGAGAUUUUUUGGAAAUUUCUGGAAAUUUGAACCUAAUGGCUAGAUUUGGGUUUCGAAAGUUUUCGGAGGUUUUUUUUUGAAGAAUCCGAAGAUUCCGGAAGUUUCCGAAGGUUUUUUCGGAAUAUUCCGGAAUCUGACAGCCCAACGGCUAGUUUUUGGGGGAGGGGUAUUUAUACCCCUCCUCCUCUCCCUUUUGAGGCUGCUAGUUCACCACACGAAAAAUAUAUCUCCACAGCCCUUUUGAGCCCUCCCAUCUCUAGUAUUGCAAGAGAUUUGAGAAGAGAAGAGAUUUGGGGUGAGGGAUUGAAAGAUUGAGUGAAAGUGAGCACAUCCAUCCUUCAGCAGUCGAGUUCAUAGCAAUUGAUCUUCAUGGCAUCUGUUACUCUUGGAGGACAAGCCUCCUAGAUGGCUAGGCGUCGCUCGGUGAGCACCCAAGCUUGUGGUGUGCCGCGGGAAGUUUGUGAAGGCUUCGAUUUCGCCUCCGCAAGGGAAGAAAUCAAGAAGCCUCAUCGUAGGUCCUUUCACUCAUGAACCUUUUCCCAAGCCACGAGGCAGGAAGCUCCGGUUUCUUGUUGCUCCCCAACCCAUAGGAAGCUUCGUCGUCUCUGAUCAAUUUUGGAGAUGAACCCAGGAGGCAGCGGGAUAGCGCACAUAAGGUAUAUGAGCUGGCUGUCUAGAAUGGAGUUGAUCAGGACAGUGUGACCCAUCGGGUUCAGGAGGAAGGAUUGCCAUCCUACCAAGGUAUCUGUCAGCUCGCUCAAUGUAGGGGUCAAAAGUAUUGAUCCGUAGCUUUGCACAAGAGAGUGGCAAGCUUAGGUACGGUUGAGGGAAACCUUCCUGUCAGCAGCCAAGAGCCUGAACACGCAGGGAGGCAGUGUGGUCACAAAUAUGCAUCGGCACUGUAGUGGUCUUCGUGAAAUUGAUCAUCAGUCUAGUGGCCUUGGAGAAUUGAUCCAACAGAGCUUGUAGCCGGAUGACAUCCUGCAGUUCUCCCUGAAGGAGUAUGAGUGUGUCGUCUGUGUAUUGCAAUAUGGGACAUGCACUUCCUUCUACGAGUGGGUGAUGAACACAACCAUCCUGCUUGAUCAUGGCCUAAAGAACAUUGGCAACCAACAGGAAAAGGUAUGGUGACAUGGGAUCACCUUGGUGCAGCCCCCGACGACAUGGAAUCCAUGGACCAGGGGAACCAUUGACCAAAACUGCUAUCAGGGAGGUGUCGAGUAUAUGUCGAACCCAUGCACACCAUUGGUCACUAAACCCCCAAGCAGCCAUGAUCCUUAUCAGUCCUUCCCAAUUCAUGAUACCAAACGCCUUGGCGAAGUCAAGUUUGAGGACAAGAGUUGACCUGCACAAGUUCUGUGGCAUAGACGAAAUUUUCCGAGAUCGACCUUCCCUUGAGAAAACCAAUUUGAUCAAGGUCAAUCAUCAUCACAAUUUUGGCCUGUAACCAAGAGGUAAAGAUCUUCACCAAUAUCUUGACACAACAAUUCUACAAGCAUAUUGCGCGAAAAGCAUCCGCUGUGAAAGCACUAGGUUUCUUUGGCACUAGCACCAUGUAGGCUCUGUUAAUUCUCGCCAAUAGCACUAGGUUUCUUUGGCACUAGCACCAUGUAGGCUCUAUUAAUUCUCGCCAAUUCUACCUCCCCUCUAUAGAAUGCAUGGAGGAAUGCCAUGACCUCAGGUUUUACCAUUGCCCAAGAUGCUUUGUAGAAGCUAGGACCAAAACCAUCAGGCCUAGGCGCAUUGUUCCGAUUCAUUACGCACAUGGCCAGGAGUGCUUCUUCCUCUGUGAAUGGGGCAGUUAGCGCAUUAGAGGCUUUCUGGCUGUCCUGAUACAGAGCGACGACAUCAAACUCCCAAUCAAAGACACCUGCAGUGCCCAUGAUCCCCUUGUAGUAGCUUGGGAGUGCAAUAGUUUUCCCCUGGUGAGACAUUACUAGUACACCGUCUACCUCGAUUCCUUUGAUAUGAUUCCGAAACAUGCGUUGGGUAGCACGGCCAUGAAAGAAUUGUGUAUUUGCAUCCCCUUCUUUGAUUGCAUGGUGUUUACCUCAUUGCUUCAAGUAUGCGGCCCUUUCCUUGAUGUCCAUGGCCAAGCAAUCCUGAGAGAGUGCCUAAACCUACAGUUCUUCAUAAGACAAGCAUCAGUGUUCCUUCAGUGUGUCAAAAAGCAAAAUUAUGAAUUUGUAGUUUUGGAUUAGAGCUAGAGGCAUCCUGUUAUGCCUGUUCCAAACCUUUGCCGCAGCUCGAGUGUCCUUGAGGCAGCUGAUGAGAUGGCCAGUAGCGUCGGCCUAAGGGUAGGCCAUGGACCACGUAGGGAGAAUGGUAGGUAGGAAGUUUUGGUUGUGCAAUCAUGCAUUUUCAAAGCGGAAGACGAUCACUUUCAAGAUGGUAGCGUAGAGCGUGAUGAGCAAGGGGGUAUGAUUUGAGGUUGGGAGAAGGAGGGAUGUGAUUGUUGUGUUGGGGUAGGCUGCACAUUGCGCAGGGUUCGCAAAGACCCAAUCAAGACAUCAAAGGGUGGGUGUGUCACGUUUGUUGGACCAGGUAUAGAGGCGAUCAAGGAGUGGUAUUUCAGCAAGACCUAGGUUGUCAAGGGUUUCAUUGAAGUUGUGGCAAAGCCGGGUGUCGACACGACCAUUGUUCUUGUCUUCGGUUGACCGACAAAGGUUGAAGUCCCCGGUGAGUAGCCAGGGGGUAGUGACAUGCUGAGGGAGCUCAUUGGGGUUUUGUAGGAAAACAGGCAUGACCAUUGUUGUUGUCUUUGGCUGGCUGACAAAGGUUGAAGUCCUCGGUGAGUAGCCAGGGCCAUUGACAUGCUGAGGGACCUCAUUGAGGUUUUGUAGGAAAACAGGCGAGUCACAGUGGUCGGAUGGAGUGUAGAUGUUUGUGAUGGUGAUAGUGUGGUUAGAUGUGGUGGAGGCGAGCACCGUGGUGAGGGUGUGGCGCCUGGUGAUGAAGGAGUGGAGCAGGAAGGUUGAGCUAAUUCCCCCAUAGGAUCCCGUGGCAGAGAUGAAGUGGAAGGUGUUAAGGGAGGGGCGGGGAGGAAAAGCUUAGUAGAGAGAUCGUUAAUGUCUUGGAGUUUGGUUUCUUGAAGACAGGUAACACAAGGAGCAGCAGAUAUGAUUGCAUCACACACCACACCGCACUUAAUCGGGUCACCCAAACCGCACACAUUCCAUGACAGAAGCUUAAACGAUCUAAAAGCAGUACCCAUAGCUAAAAUAGCAUAGCACCAGCAAGUAAAGCAAUGCACAUGCAAAACAAAGAUGGACUGCACAAAUGACCCAUGAAAAGACAGUGCAGAGGCAACAAAUUAACAAGAACGCUUAAAAAAUGACAACAAGCAUGAGAAUUAAGCAAUAACAACAGGUCCAGUUCAGUUAAAAGUAGCAGACGACAAAUGGACAUGUCACACCAUUGAGGAACCCAGGCCGCAGAGCAAGGAGUAGGCAUGAAGCGCCUGGCCUUGCCGCUCGAACUACCAUAGACAUAGAGACAACAGAUGCUAAUGACGAACACGGACACGCAGCAGAGGGACACGGAAUGUAGCAAACAAUUCUCCUCGUUGCAGAACCUGAAGUGUAGGGUUAUCAUUCAAUAGUUGGCAGCACCCCUCCCCCGACAGCAUUGGCGGUCGCAGUGCCCAGAUCGGUAGAGCCCAUCAUCUUGCACAAGUCGCAAUGGAGAUGGGCAACUUGGUGCCCAAGAGGAUGUUGCACUUCUCCACGUGAGUCUGCAAAGCGGUAGAGCAAGUGGAUAGGGAGUUCUUCAUAGCAGCACCUUGUGUGGCCUUGUCUGCCACCGCGACGUACUUCCCGUUGGCCAUCACCACCAGAUGUGAACUCUGGCGCUAAGGUUUUGCAUCCUUAGUGUUCUUGUUCCUUUGGUGUCUUCCACGGAUCGGGGAGCGCAUGGCGGACACAGCGCCAUUAGUGGUUAGAGGAGAAACAAUAGCAAUGUUUGCAUUGGUGUCACAGUACUAGCAGCAGGGGACAGUGGCGGUGAGGCAGGAGGUAGUGGAGCAGAACACUUCAUGCAAGCAAGCAUCACAGUGAGGUGGGAGCAGGUAGGCAGCCGUGGCAGGUGGUGCUUGGGGGUGCGGUGGAGCAUGCAGCGGUGGCACAGCGGGCAGCCCAUUACCAGCAGCAUUUGGUGGUGAAGGAGGGGAGAGUGCUGUCCUAGCAAGGCCAGCAGGUGGGUUGCCGGGUGCGUGCGGAGAUGGAGGAGGUAGCCCAAAGAAUGGGAUGAGGUUUCCAUCAGCGUCCUUCUGACCAUUGCGGUGCUAAACACGGAUUGGCAUGAGCUGCGCGAUGCUCCCUCCAUCCCCUAUGCAUCAAUUCAAAGCUCACUAGGGAUAUCAAGCCAAUAGUUCACUGCAAUGAGCAGACGAAGCGAAGAGUAGUCAUAACUGUCAUCCAUACAUCUAUGGGCCCACCAGAAGGUUUGGAUAGUCCUAGAAUAUGGGGCUGUACACCGAGACGUGUCAGACAUAGAGACUACGGUGCAGGACGGCGUGGUCUACGUGGAGGACAAGAACUAGUCAAGGAUUAGGAAACUACUUGUAGCAAUUAGAGUAGGACUCUCUAGUCGAAUCCAACUAGUAUUCUUGUAAACAACCAACCUAUAACCCUACCCCCGGCAAUAUAAGGCGAGGUAGGGACCCCCUCCAAACAAGUUCAAUCAAUACAAUCCAAGCAACACACAGGACGUAGGGUAUUACGCAACAUAAGCGGCUCGAAUCUAUCUAAAUCGUGUGUUCGAGUUCACCUUCGAGUUCCUAACAUUGGCGAGCCCCACGCAUUAAACAUUACCUCGGGUACCCCCUCAGUAGGUUGUUGGGUCUAAACACCGACAACUGGCGCACUAGGUCGGAGCUCUCGCUAAAGAUCCACUGGCGAACUCGAUGGCUCAAGUCAUCAUCAAGCCCACCGUUGCGUUCAAAGCGGACGCAAUGUUCAUCUUCGACUUCGGAGUUUGCGUUGAAGAUGGCACUGGAAAUUUCCAUCGCCACAUAGCGCCGGCCCUGGAGUAGAAGCAGUACGACAUCAACCUUCAUCGCCAAGCUUUGGAAGAUUUCGUUGAGAAAUUCAAUGGAAUUUUUGACCUCUUUUGAGGCUUGCGGGACGAGUCUGAGUACAACUCAACUUCUCCCACUAGUCGGAUUGGUUCCCAUGAGCUGGCGCUUAGGCCAUCGUGCGAAUCGGUCGAUACAAGUCGAUUCCUAUUUGGACUCCAAAACUCGAGUACUGCCUACCAAGCUACCCUGUUCUGAUCACAAUCCAACUCAAAUUUGAUCGAGGACUUCUACUAGUACUCGGAUCCAAACAAGCAGACUCCCUUAUCAGGUCCGCAACAAGGCCUAGUUAUCACAUCCACUCCAUAAGGCAGAUUCGUCUACUGGCCUAACAUGAAGCCACAUGCUCUCACCAAGGAUGAUGAGUCAUGCCUUGUCGCCUAUCUCGACACUCUCCCAUACUAGAAGGGAACCCCUCUGUCCCCCAUCUACGAAGAAGACAGCUCUACAGAGGUCAUCACAUCAAGUUCGGGUAGUUUCUCUCCUAUGCGGGAACCCCUCGCCAUCAUUGCUGCACAAGAAAGUGACGGUGAAGAACUGCCAGAAAGGAAUCCACGACGUGGAUGUCACCCAAAUGACGUCUCAUAGGAUGAGCUCACCGCCAACAUAGAAGGAGAAGAAACUGAAGCUCAAAGGAAUCAAUGGCGAGCAAGAAACGCUGCAAGGGUAGAGCAUCGCCGCCGCCUUGCAUCCGACCUACCCAUCAUGAACUUGGAUCACGCGUUUGAAGCAGUUCAAUCGCAAUUACACUAUACCCCUCUCACCACCAUCGCAUCUAUUGACCUGAUUACUCGGGCAAUGCCACAAGACAAGUACAUCAGGCAACUAGGUAAGUUGGCGAAGUGUGCAUACGAGCAACUUGACCAACAAAGUCCGAUACACUCAGUUUGACACACCUCAUCCCAUCAUGGCAGUAGCGGCAGGCAACCAAGUCGCAAUGAAGGUGCCAGACCUAGUCACAAUGAGCGUGCCGAAAAUGAGGCUCCCAGAAUUGAAGGUCCCAGACUGAGUCAAGCCAGAGCAGAGGGUAGUUGGGUGAAACCCUCGGGAGGCCGUGGCCACUGUGGGCCCAUCCAGAGCCUGAACACCCAGUACAUGACCUCCGUGACAAGAUCAACAACAGCCGCAACGCCUGUACAAUCAUUGAAGGGUGCCUCCGUGAGCGCGAACAAGAAGUCAAGUACUAGGGAGAAGAUUCUAAUGGGUUUCCCACCUUCUCAAAAUGAGUACAAAAUCCGCUCCUACCCGACAAGUUUAAACCUCCGGGUAUCACCAAGUAUGAUGGCAAGCAGUACCUAGUCCAAUGGUUGCGGUGCUACUCGUUGUCAAUGCAGGCGGUGGGAGGAAAUGACGACACUAAAGUCAUCUACUUCCCCAUCUGCAUGGAGGUAGUACCACUCACAUGGCUCGAAUCUCUAGAAAGGAACUCCAUCGACACAUGGAGUUACUUGAAGGCGGUAUUCAUAAACAACUUCGCAGGGGCAAUGCAGUGUCCUGGUAUAGGAUUGACUUGUCUCAAGUCAAACAGUAACAAGGUGAGACCUUGCGCAGCUAUCUACACCAUUUCUUCGACAAGAAGGCCACUAUCAUAGAUAUCACAGAGCGGGACACCGUAGAUUGCUUCCAGAACGGUAUCUAUGACCGCUAGAUGUUUCAAGAUUUUUGCAGGUGUUGACGCAAAAUCCUGGCGGUGGUGGAUCCUGCAUCAGCACAUGAGGACCUGGGAGAUCUGCUUAACUCCAGUGCAGAAUCCAAAUCGGCGCGCGUGGUGUGCGCGGGCGUGCCAGUCAGUUUGACCAUUCAACUGACAAGGAGAUGAUAAUUCUCUAGAAGUUCAAUGGAGUCGGCCGAUCGGGCCGAUUUAUAUAAUUUACAAUAACCAUCAGCCAUACGGCCGACAGGAAACACGAUGCUAUUGAGUUGUUGCUCCACCAUAACUAGAGCCACAAGCCGAUGAGAUCUAAACUAACAUCACCACCAAUAUCUCUAGGUGAAACCACAGCGAUGCGCCCGGUAGUUGCAGUCUAGAAAUAUUUAGCAGGACAUUAAUCUGAACCCCGCUAGCCGAUGAUCCAAUCACAAUGGAACUUACUCCCAACAGCACUCGAAGGGGUAACCAAGAUUAAGAUGCAACAGGCUAUUAAAAAUAGAUCUAUCGUCUAUUCCGACAGAAUUAAUAAUAAUUAAUAUGUCGUAAACGGCAAGACGAUAGAACAGAUAAAUAUCAGCCGAUGCAAGCUUAAUCAAGGCGGGAUAACCGGUGAAUACCGUAGAUCGAGACAGAAGCGAUGCGCCGUAAGUCAAAGAUCCAAGAUAUUCGAUAACCGGUAGAUGAAAAUAGACGAAACCACAGCGAUGCGCCCAGUGGUUAAAGCCUAGAACACCUGGUGACGGAACUUUGCAGCUCACCGGAGAUCGAGGUCGAUGCAGCCCAGCUUGCUAGAAGGAACUCGUCGAGAAGCUACAUUACUCCUAAUGCAAUGGCGUGAAGCCGGAAAGGUAAAUAAAAGAUAAAUGUGUUGUAUAUUGAUCGUGUGAUGAUUUUUUACAAUGGCCACGUCCCUUUAUAUUUAUAGGACGGACGUUACAUAAUUGGCAUCUAACCACGCACAAGGCAAGUCACGUACACAAUCUUUUCUAAUAAAAAACUCUAUCUCUAACUAACCCAACUCUAUCUCUAAAAUAUUUUAUUCUAUGAAACAAACUCCCGUACAACCUCCCGUACAUGCACAGAUCAGCAUGCAUAAUUAUUCUGGAAGCCUCCCACGCAUGGCAUGCAAAGUGCACCAGAAUCCAUGUUGUAUAUUCUAAUCAUUUUUAUCCAUACGUCCUGGCCUUUCCUUUAUAUCAUCCUUGCCUCUCCUUGCCGAUCAAUCCAAUGAAGCCGAUUUGGACUCCGUGCCCAUGUGCAUGCAUGCUUGCUUCUUAUUGUUGUACGUGACUCCGAUUAUCUCGUACUCUGAAUUUAUAGGAUUGGUCAAAAUCCGGUGUCAACACAGGCCCCCCAGUUUCGGAGUAUGAAUGCUUCAUGUUCCGAAACUAAUUAUAGAAGUCUGAUACUUGUCUUCAGAGCUAAUGACGUCUGAUUGCAAUAUCCAAAGCCACGUUGACUCCUCUUCAAAUAUAAAGAACACCAUCGGCAUUGCCAGCAGUAGAAACAACAAUUUAGUCUGUUGACACCAAAACUUGGUGCAGUAACCAGCAAGCUUUUGUUGUCAACACAGGCCCCCCAGUUUCGAAGUAUGAAUAUUUCAUGCUUCGAAAUUAAUAUCCAAUAUAUUUUAUAAGCAGCCGAUACUAUCUUGCUUGAACCAAUCAGCCAAAUUUUUUUUAUUGGCCAAGCAAUCAAUCGGCCGAAGCAAUCAGCUGAUGCUUUUUGCCAAGCAGUCAAUCGGCCGGUGGCCGAUGCAUUUUUUUUAAUUAGCCGUACAACUUUCAAUCGGCUGAUGCAAUUUCCAAUCGGCCGAUGCAGUUUUUUUUUUUAAUCAGCUGAUACAGCUUUCAAUCGGCCGAUCCAAUUUUCUAAUCGGCCGAUGCUUUUUUCAGCCGAUACUCUUUGUAGUCAGCGGCCCAUACUUUUAUAUCAGCCGAUACUUUUUUCUAGAGCCAUCACGUGAUCAGCAUGUAAAUUACUAUUUCCGUCGGUUGUCAGGCGAGACUUCUGCAUCGGCCAUUCCAUCGGCUAUUCAAGUCAGCCUUUUUUUUUUUUAAGCCGAUUCACUCCAUGGGCUGUCCUGAGAAUACUUUGGCCACUAGUCUACACGUUGAUAGUCCAGGCAACGAAGGAUUAUUUUUUUUUUAAAGCCGAUUCACUCCAUGGGCUGUCCUGAGAAUACUUUGGCCACUAGUCUACACGUUGAUAGUCCAGGCAACGAAGGAUUAUUUUGAGCCUUGAAAAGGUAUGUACCUUGCAAAAACUUCACCUUCACUGCCUAAUCAUUCAUCGGCUGAAAAAUCUUCCAUCUCUCCCAUCAGCUGUGGGAGAAUAUUAAAUAGGCAGCCGAUGCUUGAGCAGCCGAUUCAACUUCCCUUUUUAUCUAAAUCGGCAGAUGCACUUUUUCAAUUAGCCGAUACCCUUUUCUUUUUAUAUAUCCCAAUCGCCGAUGUAUUUAAUUAGCCGAUGUUUCCCUUAUCUCAAUCGGCCGAUGCAUCUUUUGAACCAGUCAGCCGAUACUUUCCUUAUUUCAAUCGGCCGAUGUAUAUAUACAUAUAUUUUAAUCAGCCGAUACAACUUUUGAUCGGCCGAUCCAAUUUUCAAUCGGCCGAUUUUUUUAUCAAUAAGGAGACGCACGAAUGGCCGAUGCCCCUCUCUUUUCUUUUUCUUCAAUCGGCAAUACCAAUUUUCCGUCGGCCGAUGCCACUUUUAUUUUCUUCCAAUUCCAACUGGCUGACGCUAAUCGGUCGAUGCCUUUCUCUACAAUCGGCCGUUGUAUAUAUAUAUAUUUUUUAACCAAUCCGCCGAUGCUUCUCUUCAAUCGGCCGAUGAACUCGAUACAGCUGCCGAAUAUACUCUUUUUAUCUGAAUAAACAUGUGAGUCUUAUAACCGUGUCCCACCGGGCGUGCCAAAAUGUGUUGACGCAAAAUCCUGGCGGUGGUGGACCCUGCAUCAGCACAUGAGGACCUGGGAGAUCUGCUUAACUCCAGUGCAGAAUCCAAAUCGGCGCGCGUGGUGUGCGCGGACGUGCCAGUCAGUUUGACCAUUCAACUGACAAGGAGAUGAUAGUUAUUGUGAAGUCCGAGGCAACCGGCCGAUCAGGCCGAUAUAAUCUUGGCACAGUAGCGAUAAUGGUGCAACAAAAUAAAUCAUGACAAAUAUAUCGGAUGUGAAGCCGAUUCCAGUACCUUGAUGAAUGUCAGUGAUUCAUCGGCCAUCCAGCCGAUUUAAUAUAAUUUACAAUAAAUAUUGGCCAGACGGCCGAUAGAAAACAGGAUGCUGUUGAGUUGUUGCCCCACCAUAGCUAGAGCCACAAGCCGAUGAGAUCUAAACUAACGUCACCACCAAUAUCUCUAGGUGAAACCACAGCGAUGCGCCCGAUAGUUGCAGUCUAGAAAUAUUUAGCAGGACAUUAAUCUGAACCCCGCUAGCCGAUGAUCCAAUCACAACGGAACUUACUCCCAACAACACUCGAAGGAUGGCCAAGAUCAAGAUGCAACAGGCUAUUAAAAAUAGAUCUAUCGUCUAUUCCGACAGAAUUAAUAAUAAUUAAUAUGUCGUAAAUGGCAAGACGAUAGAACAGAUAAAUAUCAGCCGAUGCAAGCUUAAUCAAGGCGGGAUAACUGGUGAAUACCGUAGAUCGAGACAGAAGCGAUGCGCCGUAAGUCAAAGAUCCAAGAUACUCGAUAACUGGUAGAUGAAACUAGACGAAACCACAGCGAUGCGCCCGGUGGUUAAAGCCUAGAACACCUGGUGACGGAACUUGCAGCUCGCCGGAGAUCGAGGUCGAUGCAGCCCAGCUUGCUAGAAGGAACUCGUCGAGAAGCUACAUUACUCCUAAUGCAAUGGCGUGAAGCCGGAAAGGUAAAUAAAAGAUAAAUGUGUUGUAUAUUGAUAUCCAAUCUCUCAAGAUCAUGAUACAAGCUUGGGCGGAUGAAGAAGACAAAGCGAUCAAGCGGUUCGAGUCUAGUCGUAACAUAGGCCAAAACAAUAACAAUCAGAGUAAUGGCCAAUGCAACAACAAGAACCAUAACGAUCUGCCCAAUAAUGACAACAGAGGCAACUACUUGGGUGGUUAAAAUUGCAAAAGAAAGCCAGACAACACUGUCAUGGCGAUGUCUCAAUCUUCCAAAAAAGACGGCAGGAAUCAAGAAAGGACUUCGUUCAAAGAGCUCCUGAAAAAGCGGUGCCCGUGGCACCAACACUCUAAGCACUCUGCUAUGGAUUGCUAUAGCCUACGCAGAGUCCUGAAAGAUCUACCGUAACCUUCUGGAGCAAAAGACAAGUGCAAGGCUAAAGAAGACGAAGACGAUGACGACAGCGAUAAAUUCUAGAACCUGUCCAACACCGUCAAAGUCAUCUUCGGUGGAACAUUGGGUACUACCACCAAGCAGUCCCAUAAACUAGCCCUCUGGGAGAUUAUGUCCAUUGAACCAGCAAUGCCUACAUUCCUCAAGUGGUUCGAGGUGUCAAUCACCUUCUCCAGGAAGGAUCAGUGGACUAGUUUCUCAGACUUGAGAUGCUACCCUCUUGUCCUGGAUCCAGUAGUCGCAGGCUCUCGACUCACCAAAGUACUCUUCGACGGCGGUAGUGGUCUCAACAUACUCUUCGCGAAGACUUUGAGGAAGAUGGGCCUCGACGUUAACGAUAUGCUCACCCCGACGAACUCUCCAUUCUACAGGAUUGUCCCGGGCAACGCGGCUGUACCCCUUGGUCAGGUGGUUUUGCCAGUUACCUUUGGAACCAAGGAACAUGCUAUCCUCGGAAGACCCACCUUGCACAAAUUCAUGGCCAUCCCGCAUUACGUGUACCUAGUACUCAAAAUGCUGGGACCCAAGGGAGUACUCUCCCUGCGCGGAGACUUGAAGAGAUCAUACGAUUGCGACACAGAAGAUGUGGAGUUAGCAGCGACUACUCAAGGGCCAAAUUCGAUGAUGCAAGUCUUCGCUGCCUCUAAGAAACUAUCCCCAACAAAGCUCAAAAUUCCAGAGAAUAAGUCGGGGGCAACCAAAGUCGAGCCGACAAGUGAAGUUGAUAUCAAAGCCAUUGACCUUGAGACUAGCGAUAGCUCCAAGAUAGCCCUAAUUGGCUCAGGGCUGGACCCCAAAUAGGAAGAUGCGCUCGUCAGCUUCCUCCGGGCCAACCGAGACAUCUUUGCAUGGAAGCCAUCAGAUAUGCCUGGGGUGCCUAGGGAGCUAAUCGAGCACUCACUAAAUGUGGAUCCCAAAGCUAUGCCAAACGACAAGGACUACGCCGAUUCACCCAAGACAGAAGAGAAACAAUCAAAAAAGAGUUGGCCAAACUACUCGCGGCUAACUUCAUAAAAGAAGUCUAUCAUCCAAAGUGGCUGGCCAAUCCUAUCUUGUACCGAAAGAAAAAUAACAACGAGUGGAGGAUAUGUGUCGACUACACGGAUCUCAACAAGCAAUGUCCAAAGGAUCCCUUUAGGCUCCCUAGGAUUGAUCAAGUCAUCAACUCGACGGUUGGAUGUGCUCUACUAUGUUUCCUUAAUUGCUAUUUGGGGUAUCACCAGAUAGCUCUCAAGGAAGAAGACCAAAUCAAAACCGUGUUCAUCACCCCGUAUGGAGCUUUCUACUACACUACAAUGUCCUUCAGGUUGAAGAAUGCAGGCGUCACUUAUCAACGGGCCAUCCAGGAAUGUUUCAAGAAACAACUACACCGCAACGUUGAAGCGUACGUGGAUGACAUGGUCGUAAAGACUAUAAAUCCCGUCGACUUGAUUGCGGAUCUUGAAGAAACUUUUGCAAGAUUGCGAGAGUUCCAGUGGAAGCUGAACCCAACAAAGUGUGUGUUCGGUGUAUCAUCCAGAAAACUACUCGGGUUUAUCAUCAGUCAUCGAGGAAUAGAGGCUAACCCCAAGAAGCUCGCUGCCAUCACCAACUUCCACUCUCCAUCGUGCAUCAAGGAGGCGGAUCUCAAUAGAUUCAUCUCAAGGCUUAGAGAACGGGGACUACCCUUCUUCAAACUAAUCAAGCGGAAAGACAACAUCUAGUGGACCAAGGAGGCGGAACAAGCCCUUCAACAGUUGAAGGACUUCUUAUCAAAGCCACCGGUCCUCCCAGCACCUACUCCCAAUGAAGACUUGCUGCUUCAUAUCACCACGACUACUAAUGUUGUUAGCACCACGAUCGUGGUUGAAAAGCUAGAACCAGGCCAUGUAUACAAAGUACAAAUGCCCAUCUACUUUAUCGGUGAGGUGUUGUCGGAUUCCAAAUCCUGGUAUCCCACCAGUUCAAAAGCUGCUAUAUGCAAUACUACUCACCUCGUAGAAGCUACGACACUAUUUCCAGGAACACAACAACUUCGUCAUCACAGAUUUCCCCUUGGGCGAAAUCCUUCACAAUCGAGAUGCAACAGGAAGAAUCUCCAAGUGGGUGGUUGAACUCAGAGCCCUGAACCUAGAAUUCAAGUGAAGGACUGCCAUCAAGUCGCAAUGACUAGUUGAUUUCAUGGCCGAGUGGUGGGAAAAUCAAAUACCAAAGCCGGCAGAACGCCCAGAGCAUUGGGUCAUAUAUUUUGAUGGGUCUCUCAAACUCGAGGGCGCCCGCGUAGGAGUACUCUUAAUCUCUCCCAAAGGUGAACAACUCAAAUACAUUCUAAAAAAAUCUUCUGGGAGGUGUCCAACAAUGAAGCCGAAUACAAAGCGUUUCUACACGGGCUUCGCUUGGCAGUCUCGCUGGGAAUCAAACAGUUGUUAGUCUACGGCGACUCACUCGUGGUCAUCAAUCAAGUCAACGACGAGUGGGAUCGCCACAAAGACAACAUGGAUCUGUACUGCUUGGAGGUUCACAAACUAGAGAAGAAGUUCUCUGGUCUAGAGUUCCAUCACGUGGCUCGUGAUAACAAUGUAGUUGCAGACAUCUUUUCCAAGCUUGGUUCUACUCGUGCUUAAGUUACAGUUGGGGGUUUCAUCCAUGAACUACACAAGCCAUCCAUAACGGAGCCAGCACCUUCAAAACCACCGAUCGAGGCCACAAUAUGCCAAGUCGGGAGGUUAUGAUGAUUGAUGUAGACUGGAGAAACCCCUUCAUUGACUACAUUAAGGAGCACAAGUUACCUCCAGACAAGACAGAAGCUAAGCAAGUCUCACGGUGCGGCAAAAAUUAUGUUCUAGUUGGGGACAAACUUUAUAGAUGAGGCACAUCAUCAGGAGUACUCAUGAAGUGCGUCUCAUGGCAAGAUAGCAAGGAGAUAUUGGAGGAGAUCCACAAGGGCAUCUGUGGCAACCACGCAUCCUCAAGAAUGAUAGUGGGCAAGGCUUUUAGAGUGGGAUUCUAUUGGCCUACAACUCUCGCUGACGCUGAACAACUAGAUCACCGAUGCCAAGGGUGUCAAUUUUUCACCAAGAAAUAACACGUCCCUGCCUACAAGCUGAUCACCAUACCACCCUCUUGGCCCUUCGCUUGCUAGGGGCUAGACAUGAUUGGCCCUCUGCCUACGGUGCCUGGGGGCUUCAACCAAGUACUCGUGACGAUCGACAAGUUCACCAAGUGGAUUGAGGUAAAGCCAGUGACCUACUCGAAGGUAGAUAGAGUACUCGACUUCCUCGAUGAGAUCAUCCAUCGCUAUGGUUUCCCCAACUACAUCAUCACAUACUUAGGUUCCAAUUUCAACAACCACGAGUUCUGGGAGUACUGCGAGAACAAUAGGAUCGAUGUCCGGUACAUCUCUAUCGCUCAUCCGUGGGCCAAUGGCCAGGUUGAGCACGCCAAUGGGAUGUUACUAGAGGCUCUCAAGAAAAGACUACACAACAUUGGCAACACCAAAGGAGGCAAGUGGCUCAAGGAGCUACCCAACGUCCUCUAGGGGCUUCGCACCCAGCCAUGCAAGCGUACUGGGUACUUACCCUACUUCAUGGUCUAUGGAUCAGAAGCCGUCCUCCCCGCCGACAUCAUGUGGAAAUCUCCAGUAGUCAAGCAGUACGAGGAGGGCGCGGCAGAAGGAACAAGGCGUCUAGACUUAGACAGCCUUGAAGAAGCUCGCUGUGCAGCACUCAUCCAGUCAGCAAGAUACCUUGAAGAAAUUCACCACUAUCAUGAUCGCAACGUCAAAGAACGUUCGUUCAACACAAGCGAGUACAUGGUCCUCAAGCAUAUUCAAGACACUAAGGGAUUGCACAAGCUGAAUUCACCAUGGGAGGGUCAUUUCAUCAUCUCCAAGGUCACUGGAUCUGGGUUGUACAGGCUCCAAACUCUCUCUGGCGAAGAAGUCAACAACUCAUGGAACAUCGAGCACUUGUGUCGAUUCUACCCGUAGUUUACAUACUCAUGUAAAUUGGCUAUCAGUCUUAGUUAUACAAUUACAAUUUAAUAAAGCAGAUUUAUUUCUUGUCGUAAAAUGACUAGUCUCUAACAGAUUGUGACUUACAAAAACAAGAUCACUGAGCUAUUCAGCUCCUCGGGUACUACCACCCAGCUCACAGCUGGUAGUCACAAGCCUGCACAGAAUAUUCUCGAGUUCUUCAACAUGUUGGACAGAACUGUCCACACGCAGCUUGUAAUAACAAGUCAGCAUACAUAUCUUUUGGGUUAUUCAAACUCAUUGGACAAGUAGUGACUCACAAAAGCAAGCUUGCACACAAAAAAAAAGAGCUAGUCAGCUCCUUGGACAAGUCUGUCCAUUGACGGUCUUCGUAGAAGAAGUCGUCAGUAACUUGGAAGUUAUAUAUACUACCCAAGAUCUUAUCUAGACAAGUCUGUCUAGUCGCAACUUGUAAUAACAAGUUUGUAGUUCUGGAUCUUUGGAGCACAACACCCGAACAACCUAGAGAGGUUGCAGAGGUAGGCUCCAGUUGAUGAAGUUCUAAAGAGUCUACUCGCUUAAAGAGGCUGACUAUCCAAAUACCCUAGUACUUGUGCUUCACUGAAAGGGGUUACAUCCUAGAAGUAAUCUACACUGUGUAUCUGAAGAGGCUCACAAGAGUAGCCUUAUGAGCAAAUACUCACGACUACCGUACGAGCAACUAUCAGGGUGGUUUGGGAGAUGCACUAAAAACAAACAAGUCGACAGCAAUAAAAUUUGUGACAAGACUUCAAAUAAUUUACAUUUCAUUCAUGAUAUGUUUAUAUUAUAAUGAUUUCAUGUUUUUUACAUAACGACUACUCAAGGUCUAUCUGACCAGCUACCUCCUUGGCAAUAGGAGCCACCUCAUGCAGGUACUCUUGAAACUGCUCAUCAGAGCAGUCUUGCACAAUCCCCUCCGCAACUGGAGCAAGGUCUGCUUGUGGGUAGAAGUAUUUCACAAUAGCAAGUAGCUACUUCGAGAUGGACUCUGCCAUCUUCUAGAUGUACCUAGUGAUCUUUGCAAGGACUUCCUUGAGUAUCUCUGCUAAAGGGCAGGGAUCCACGCCUUCCAUCGGGGGCUCCACCAUAUCAGCAAUGGGCUGAGCGGAUUCUGAUAGCUCCUUCAGAGCAAGCUUGGUUGCUGCCAACUUAGGGUCUGUUUGGUAGAGCUCCACGUAGCUCCAGAUCCUCAAAAAUAGCUUCGCUCCCAGUUUUUCCAGCCAAACGGUCCAGCUCCGUGAAAUCCAGAUCCGCAAAAAACUCAGAUCUAGCUCCCAGAUCCACUAAAUCCACGGAGCACCUCAGGGGGUGCUCUCAAAACACUGGUUUUGUAACCUCUCGUGGAGUUAUGGAAAUUACCCACCAAUGCCAUCGAUUACACCCCGUAUCGGUACGCUUAUUUUUCUUCUUUCUGCCGCCGUCCCGUUUUUUCCCGUGCGCGAAGAUUCUUCUCCUACGCCGUUCUUCUCCCUGUUUGGCGCGGCCAUUCCUGGCGGGCGCCUGCAGCAUGGCCAUCGGCGAGUUCGUCUCCGUCUACUCCCAGCGCGACAUUGAGCUGGCCCAGCUGGACCGCGACGGCAAGCGCGGCGGUGAGGAGAAGGCGCUCCCGAGCCCCGUCUAGGCCGUCGUCGCGUCCGCGCUCACCUUCUCCAUCGAUGCGCUCGUGCCGCUGCUGGCCGCAGGCUUCAACCACGACUAGAGGCUCCGCAUCGGCGGUGCCAUCACGCUGGCCACUGCCACGCUCACCGCGUUCGGCUGCGUUGGCGCCGUGCUGGGCCGCACCCCCGUCGCAAGGUCCUGCGCGCGGGUGGUGAUCGGCGGCUGGGCCAUCAUGGGAGUCACCUACAGCCUCAUGAGGCUCUUCAAAGCAAGCGGCAUAUGAUCUGAUGAUGUUGACCUCCAUAGAUCAUCCAACAACACACCACACUCUUCUCGUGUGUCGUCGUUGCUUUGCUUUUUAUUAUUUCGUUUCGUACAUGCAUCCAUCUCCUAACCAUACACUAGCUAUAUGAUAGAUGCACACGCGACUCAUAUCGAUGAUGCAUCAUCCAUCCCUAGCUGCUACCUAGCUAGCUAGUUGCAUCUAUGUAUGCUAUCUGCUGCUGUUGAGUAUCGAUCGAAAAUCUCUAUUUCUGGGAAACACCACGUGAAGAAAUGUUUCCCACGUGAAGAGAAAAAAAUAAGAAAAAAAGGAAACCACCAAGGGCAUUAGUGGACAAUCCAACCAAAGAUUCUAUUUCUAGAUCCGGAGGUGUUGUCUCAACCAAACACUUUUCCUCAGCUCCAUGGUGAGAGCAUAGAUCCACGCUGGAGCUGCUCUAUGGUAGAGUUGCUGUUUUUGAGGAUCUGGAGCUGCGUGGAGCUCUGCCAAACAGGCCCUUAGCCUCGCACUCUUGGAGGGUCAUCAUGGCAUUCACCAGAUCGACUUCUCCAUCCAUGCGCAUUUUCCGCUCUUUCUCCAACCGGUGCUCAAGGGUCUCGUACAGAACAGACAGCUUGUCAUAUUGCUCCGUUACUUUGUAGUAUGAGUUCAUCCAAUCUAUAACGCAGCUUUGGAGAUCAUCUUUCUCUUUCUUGAGCGCUACAGAGAACAAAACAAAGAGCAACUCAGAAUCAUCAAGUGCAAAUCAGUACUCAAAGACUAGCGGGGGAUGACAAGUUACCUUCCAACUGAUUCUUCAAUGACUUGUUGCGCCUCCGGAUGUGGUCCUUCUCCUCCGCGGCUUUCUGGACGAGGUUACGGUACUCGGCAGCUUGGCCAUCGUAGUUCAUGAAUAGCCAAGAGGAGUACUGUUGCUCUUUUUCUAGCUCCUAUUCAAGCGCUUGAGCCCACAUGAUGGUGUCCUCAUAGCCUUGGAUCAUAUGUGAAUUCCGGCGAGAGUGCUCGAUCAACUUUUGCAGAAAUAGAGCAAGUACACGUAUAAGUAACGAGUGCCAAUCUCAAGAUGAAGACAAAUGUAGAAGAGAAACAUACCAUUGUGUGUUCGCCUACUCGGCGGUGCAUCUCCAUAACCAUGGCCUCCAUCUCUAUGGUGGUCAAAGGGUCUGCCAGGAGUUGGAUAUCCUCCAAGUUCACCCCUUUAGCUAUCCAAGGUUCCUCAUGCUCUUCAGCAUUUGGUGCACCAAGAGGAACCAGUGCCCGGCUAGUUCAUGGAUCGGCUUCCAAAGAUGCAAGGGAGGUCGCGCCCUGACUAGUCGAUGGUCCCACUUCAGAUGGCGGGAUGGUAGCCAAAUGGUAGCCAAUACUUGUAGAGCACCAACAGCUCCAACCUCCACUUCUAGCUUGGGGCUUACAAGCGUAGCCUCAGUCCCAAAAGUAGUCUCUGUUGCAGCCUUGGUCUCCGCCUUUGGCUCGAGGGCUUCCAAUAUAGCCACCACAGCAGAAGAAGUCACCACGACGGGCUCGGCUACUGGUAACUUGGGAGCUGGCACUACAACGAUGUUAAGUGUUGCAAUAACAUCAUGCAUAAGCACAACGACUAGGGAUACAACACCUAGAGCUAUUUCUGGUGCCGGCUGCUCUAUUGGCGGUGAAAUUAAAGGCGCCGGGAUGAGUUCUUGGGCUGAUUGGCUGCUGCCAUCAGCUUCAGACUUUGGGCAUGGACCUCCAAUGUCCACGCUGGCAAAUUUCCUAAAAGAGACAAGCGUCAAGGUACAAUACAAGGCACAGACAGGUAACAAUCAGUACUCGAGUACUUACUUUGCACAUCGCCUUAUCUUCAAGGAGGGCUCUCCCCCCAGGCACAGGGACUUGACGGUGGGGGGCGGCUUCUUUGGCGUGGCUGCUGGAUCGUAGCUUGAUCCUUGCCAGCCUUAGCCGUCGUCUCCACCUCUUGGGUAGUCCAUGCAUUGGCGGGGUUGGCCCUAGUGAUAGGAGGUUCCUCAUCAUCUUCCAACUCAAGGACCUCCUUGACCGCCGGUAGCUCCUGCUGCACAACUUUGGUAGUCGUCUCCUCUGCCUCUGUCUCCUCCUCGACUACCUGCAAUCCUCCAAAUGUCAUAACUAAGCAGACAUGGGGGUAAGGGAAACAACUUACAAGUACACAAUCAUCAGGAUCUUGUCCUUCUUCAAAUGUGAUUACCAGAGGUGGGACUUCAUCGGUGGUGGGCGGCUUCUUCGCCACACAUUUCACGGUGAUAGUGUGCCUCGUCUUCGGUGGUGGCGCUAGUCCGACUUCCAAGUCAUCUCUAGCUUCUCACUUGGAUGUCCCAGAAGAUGACCCCACCAUGUCUGUUGGUCAGGGCUUGACAACAUACUUCUCCGCAGCCUUUGAAUCAGAGCUGUUGAAUGAAGAAAAUCCUUCUGACUCCUCUUCCUACUCCUCUUCAAUCGCUUUCAGUACAGCUGCAAUUGUUUGUACACGUGGAGCAGUGUCAAAGCCAUCCGACCCGGGUGGAGGAGGGGUGAAGCAAAAUAAGUGAAGUUCUUCCUGCAAAAGUAGACAAGUCAGUACUUUGACAAGUAUCAAAAUUAGUACUCGGGGACUAAGGCCACGGGUACUUACACUAUUUGGCAGGUUGACAGCGCAAUGCUCUCGCAUGAUCGUCGGGAUCACCCUAGCGUGCUUGAAGAGGCGCCUCUAUCGCGCCAUCACCUCAUCCACGGACAAGUCAUCCGACAUCAUCCGUGAUGGGUCAUUCGGGCCCGAGUAAUCAUAACCCCAGGUGCAGCACAGCUGAAGGGGUUAGACUUGCCUCCUCAUGAAACUGAAGGCCACGACUAUCCCAGUUAGUCCUGCCUUCUUGAGCGUAGUGAUCUUCUCCAGCAGCUCUGGUAGCUGAAAGCUAUCCGCAUGGCUCGGCUUGUCCAACCAGCGAUUGUUCCAGACUAGUCGGUGGCCGGUCAUCUUGAGUAGUCGGGGCUCAUGAUUCCCAAUGUAGAAUCACCGCUCCUUCCACCCAGAGUAGGAGUCUAUCAGUUCAUAAUGCAAGUACAAGCCUUUCACUUGUUCCCACGGUUGGAUUCAUGCCUCCCCCCAUGACUACUUCUGUAUGGUCCAUUCUAGGCUGGGACUUCACUAUGAAGAACUUCCAAAAGAGCUGGCAGUGUGGCUGAAAUCCAAGAAAGGCCUUGCACAAAUGCACAAAGAUGGCUACGUGCAGAAUCGAGUUGGGGUUGAGGUGGAAUAAAUCCAACUUGUGGUAACUCAGUAGCCCACGGAAGAAAUCAGAUGUCGGGAGAGCCAAACCUCGCUCAAUGAAGUGUGCAAAGAUAACUGUCUCAUGGGUGUAGCUCUCCAUAGGCCACGGGUUGCCAUAGGCUACCCUCCAGGUGAUGAAGUCCUGCUCCUGGAGAAGAUUGGCAUCCACCACUGCCUGGAUGUCCGCCUCCUUCAUCUCGAACUUCUUACAGGCGCAGGCUUGAUUUGGCGGAGCCAUCUGGUCUGUCUUGCCAUACUUGGGCACCAGCAACUGAAUCUCCUUCUUCUUCUUAGCCUUCCUCUUCUUGCUCUCUACUACCUUGCUGGAGGUCGCUUUCUUUCCAUUCGUGUUAUCACGAGGGUCUUCUUGCGCAUACACUCGGGGGCUAAACGGUGGGGGACGGUGGCGCUCAAGCUCAAAAUUAGGUGAGUGGCAGCGCUAGGGAUACAGUAUGGAAGAUGAACGAGCAGAAUGGCUGGGGUGAAAUGGAAGGGAUAAAUUGCUCCAUUAUUUAUAACCGCAGCACAAUUAAAACAGAGGUGAGAUUAACAAGAAUAUUCCAUUUUUAAAUGCCCGUAGUUAUCGCUUGACAGUUUUCAAUUUUUUUGGAAAGAGAUAAGGUUACUGUUGGCGAACGAUCACGUUGACUAGUGGUUGACCCUUAUACCCAAAACUAAUCGUGUAACAGCUCGAGGGCUACAUGCCCAUCAGCUAAAAAGUUUUUUCUUUUGGGUUUUAAGGUAAAGGAGAUGUGAAAUUACAGGAUUGACCCUCAGCCUGAUUCUUCAAUUCAACCUAAGGCUUGGGGGCUACUCCAUAUGGAGUGUGAUUUUCAUCGCACUUUCAUAUAAGAUUCAACAUUAAAGAUUUGAGACCAAGUUAAAUAAGGCUUGAGCACAUUCUAGCUGCAUGGCAGUACCCGUGUUCCUUCGAAGACUCAAUCCGAUAGAGUACUCAAAAGAGCACCACAAACUAGUCAGAGACAUCUAUAGAAGUACUCGGGACUGCUACAUUUGACUAAAAAGUACUCGGGGGCUUGUCAUCCAUACCUCUAUAGGCCCACCAGAAGGUUUGACAGUCCUACAAUACGAGGUUGUACACCGAGACAUGUCAGACAUGGAGACUACGGUGCAGGACGGCGUGGUCUACGUGAUGGACAAGAACUAGUCGAGGAUUAGAAAACUACUCGUAGCAAUUAGAGUAGGACUCUCUAGUCAAAUUUGACUAGUAUUCUUGUAAACAACCGACAUGUAACCCUUCCCCGGCAAUAUAAGGUGAGGCAGGGAUCCUUCAAACAAGUUCAAUCAAUACAAUCCAACCAAUACAUAGGAAGUAGAUUAUUAUACGAUAUAAGCAGCUCAAACCUGUCUAAAUUGUGUGUUCGAGUUCACCUUUGAGUUCUUGAUCUCAACGUGCCCCACGCAUAAAACACUACCUCGGGUACCCCCUCAGUAGGUUGCCAGGUCUAAACACUGACAAUAACUAGUGAGGCACACUGGGUCGAUCUCAAGUAGGUUGCAAAACCCUCAGAAGCUGUUGUAGAUGUGUUUUUCCGUCCAAUGUUCCGAAGGAUAGUCCUAUACCGCAAUGUACGCCAACCACUCCCUUUCCCGGAAGAUACAAUUCGACGUCUCUUUCCGGCGUUCCAGCUCCAGCAUGAUGUUGUCCUGGAUGGGUGAGGCGCUGGGCGGUGGAGAACGCCUUCCCGGCAAGGAGGGUGGCGACGGGGAGAGUGGCAGCGAGUCAACAGGCACCUUUCUGCGGCUCGAGUGGACAUGGAUGUCCACAGAUCUGGGGAUGAGUGGUGGUGGAGUAGCAGCGGCCGCCAGGGCCUCCGGUUGAGGUGAGCUUGGUGAGCAGGGAAAAACAAUACCCGCCUUCAGAGCCGACACAGGAGUGGCGACACCACAGGGGAGCUCGAAAUCCGACAUCAUGGAGCUCGAGGAGGCCAGCAUGGCAAGUGGGUCAAACGCCGCAGGGAGUGCAAUGUGCAUGGGCGUAGGUGGUGGUGGGGUUGUUGUUGGUGGCGGCGGCAAGGUGAAGCGAGGCGUGUAUGAAACUGCGUGGAUGGCGAGGCGGAUGGUGGGGUUGGGGACGGUGGGGCAAUGAUGCCAGGGGAUGAACACCCUAGCUAUCGGCAUCUUGCACUCGCGAAACCGGUGGCCGCUGCCGCGGCAGUUUCGGAAGCGGAUAGGGUCACGGCAGGAGCACACUUGAUGGUUGGUGGUGAGGCAGCAAAAGCAGCCGGUAGUGGUGGUAAUGGGAGGGUUGCGGCGCGCUAGGGUUUUCUAUGGUUUUGCUGGGGUUAGGAGAGCCUGGAAGUACGGGGUGUUGGGUGGUUGGGUAGCAUUGAGUGUCGUUGUGCCUGUCUAGCUGGGAGGGGGCGUGCUGGUAGCAGGUCGACACACAUUCGCUGCCUCGGGAGGGGGCACAACGCGAGCGCAGGCAGCUGAGCUGUGCAAAUCCGUAGAGAUCUUUCGUUUUGAACCGUUUGCAAGAGUAAAACCAAAGCUGCCACCUCAAGCCGGACACUUCCCCGUGUUGGAAAAUGUAGCAGCAUUGAAGCUUGUUUCUUCAGAUUGGUGCGGAGUAACUGAUGGUUGGUGAGGGCCCAUGAUCCCGUCCUCUAACGCUCCGGCAGCCCUCUCCACCGUCGCCAUGGACGGGUGAAGCCAAAGCUUAGAGGCGCCCAUGCACAGAGGACUCCGAACGAGGAGAGCGUUUGCCACAUUCCGCUAGACCGAAUGCGCAUGACGUACAGGCGACCCGGAUGAAUGGUGAGGAGGAAAUUGAGCAUGUACUGCACAAAAGAGGAAUCGUAGUGCGGAGCAAUGGUUGCAGGGGUGAUCCAGAUGAAGAUGGGAGGGGUGGGUGCGAUUUCACCUGGGACGACGGUGGUGUGGAAGUCAAGGAGGAAACGAGCUCGAAGUUGUUCUCCAGGCGUGGUUAGGGCUGCGUUCCUCAGUGGCGCGCCGCCACCUCUCCAGGCCCAAAAACGGGUCCAAGCAUGCGGCGCUGGUGGAGGAGCAGGAUGUGGUGCUGGUGGUGUGUUUUGGCUGUCUAUCACUGGGCAGGGGUCGACAGCGGUGAGGUCAGGGGUCCGGCUCGUCGUCACCCAGGCGCUCACAAGACGGGAGCGCCAUCCUUGCUGUGCCCCCCUCACCAACGGCUUCGCGGAGGAGAAGAUUGUCAGCUUGCCUACUCCAGACAAAAAUAAGUCCCUCAAUGACAUCUCUCAAACAAACUGUCAAACAGAUACAAGUAAACUUUCAGUUAGAAUGAUUUCUAUAGUGCUGUCAUCUUCUCUAAAGAAUAUAUAGAUGCAUGAGGGUACAGUUCAACAUUGUGCUUAAUUAUGAUUUUUACCUUGUGCUUCACACAACACUGUUUCUAUAUGCCUUAGAUAAAUUCAUGAUGCGCCGACACCUAUGAGGAUCUUAUGCCUUGGUCCGUACCAUCCCAUUUGCGCGAGUGGUCUGCUAGCACCUAUACAGCUCUUUUUUUUCCUAGCUAGCCCAUCAUCAUAUAAGCUCAAACCAUAACCAGACUAUUAAGGGGCACAAAACCGAACAUAUCAAAACCCAUCCAUUAUAGGACUUUGAACAUGACAUUUUGCACUAGUUGAUGUUUGACUCUAUCCUACCUAUGCGAUGAGAUCUAAGAGAUUAACUCCAUUGUCAUCCUUCCAUCUUCACCUUCAGAGAAUCCACUUUUGAUGAGCUACGCUUGGAUGCUUUUUUCUUUCCUUUUUUCAUUUAAGAUGCACAAUGUUUCCAGUGAAAAGAUGGCACAGGGAAUAUGAAACCAAAAUUGUAUAGUGAUAAUCACAGAUCGAACUGAAGCAUUUCAGAUCCAUGAAACUUCAAAGAGUGACAGUGAAGUUUUCGGAGAUUUGUACUUGAGAAAAUGGCCUAAAUCUUAGAAUUGAUACUGCUGUGUUUUGAAAAGAAUCAUCUUUUUACGCAUGCCCUUAUCAUGAGUGGCGGCACUAGAACUGUGUACCGUGAAUAAAAACAGAGAGCAUUGCAAGAUUGUACGAUCAUUGACACCGAGAGGAGGAUUGCUACCAUGUGACUUUGAUGGGUAGAUUCCAUGACGAAUUGCAUAUAGCCAUGCUUUGGCAGGAUGAUGUUUCCCUUAGCAUCGAGCAUAUGUUGUAUAUCAAACUAGCGAUAUAUCGUUCUGUCAAAGGAUCCUAACGGAUAGUUGUGUGGCGUGGCGCCAUAGUAGUAGUGAUGGCCACCAGUGCAUCUCUCUUGACUUUGUCCAUUUACCCUUAUUUUUUUAAAAAAAGAGAAAGAUAAUGGAGAUAUGGUUUUCUUAUUGGUAAGAUAUGCAUAAUGUACGAAAUGCAGAACGCAUGGAAUGAGGUGUCUUUUGGAGGCAUCAGCAAUUCAAUAUGACUAAUGAUAUUGUUGAAUAUAACAAGUAUAUGGCAUGUCCCUUCGGCAUGUUUAUGGUUUCCACUGACCCGUGAAAAUUUUAAAUCCCCUGUAAAAGUCCAGUUACAAUAAUCUGGAACUGAAUACUAUAAAGCAAAUUAACGUAGUAGGUCCCUCACAAGCACCAUAAAUAAACCAUAACAAUCUCCAGUAGCACAGGUAGUAACUAGCAUAAAACACAAAAAGGUUGUAUGUUGAUGACGGACCCUAGGGCUAGAGGAACUCAUGGCAAUUUGGAUUGGAUCCAUAUAUGGGCUAUGCAGAUAAUGAUCAAUGAGUAACUGAUGACCUGAUUUUCUUCAAUAAGGGAAAUUUUAUUGAAUCCAAGGUUUACAUCAAUCUGAUACAAAUUCCAUGAACCAUAUUCUUAGCCUCUGAAUUACCAGGAUACACACAUCCAAAAGAAAGAAAAAAGAAAGAAGAAUCAGGGCGCUAAUGAUAGACCGCCACCCAUAUGCCUAGAUAAAAAGAACUCCUUGACCAUCUGAGCCAGGUGCUGCGGCCCCACUGCAACCAAGCUCUGUGAAGCUGCCCAUUUCUGUAAUAUAACACAUGAGCAAAAGCGAAUGGAUAAUUGAGAAGAUAACCUGCAACGGAGAAGGGUUAAAAAUCGAAGACCUGAUGGGUGUCCAAUGCGGCAGCCCAAUACUGGAUGUAAGGAAAACAGUAGACCUGUCCUAAGAGAAGAAGGGGUGAAUUAGAAUAAUUUAAAACUACUUUUAGGGCAUCUAGGAGAUUAAACUUGAUCAAGAUAAACCUAAAAAUACCUAUCUGAUGUACAACUAAGUGUUCACGUUGGAGCAUCCACCACGGAGAUAUCGCUUCGAUCAGGCAAGUAUCGCUUCGAUUGCUUCAAAAGAAUGAUGAGAAGUAGAAAUUUAAUCAUUACAAGUACAUGUCGUGCUUAUUUAACUCAGUUUCCAUGGUAACCAAAAGGAUAUGCUUGUUUUUCCUUUACAGGUAUUGGCCAUUUAGGCUUGUGCUCUCAUAGUUAUAUUCCCCCUGCUCAAAAUCAGACACAAUCCAAAACCAACAAGGAGUGGCAAUUCAAAAUCCACAUCUCACUGAAAAAUGGUGGAAAGGUCAGGGUUACAUUUGUCCAUUUCCAUUCAAAGACAUGGACUAGUCAUUCCUGACCUUUUUCUGCCCUGCUAGAGGCUAUUGCCGUUAGCCGCUAAACAAAACUUCUCACAUAUCCUUGUUGAGAGCUAUGUAUGAGGGAUUAUGCGUGUAGUUGCUGCCGAUGUGUGGUGGGGAUUCUCACCAGUGGCGGACCUAGAAUUUUACCACAGGGUAUGCCGAAAAAAAUCUUAUGCAAUUUGAUAAAACCAUUUAUAAUUUGGUAAAACUAUAUUCUAAUUUGGUAAACCACAUGCACUAAAUAACAUGGUAAGUCUUAAAUUCAAAGAUUAAGUUAGAACCAAUAACAAAUCACAAUAUAAAUAGUUCAAAUGAAAUACCAAUAGUUCGAAAUAUAGUAUAAAAGAAACUUACAAUAUUACUUAUCUGCUUUGUUUACCCGCCACUUUUUGAAUGACAUGAAUGUCUUGAUUAUAUCAUCUUCCUUCACUCGGAAGAAAAUAUCCCGCUCAAUGAAUGUGACUAGACAAUCGUCCAAAAUACUAUCACCUAGCUUAUUCCUUGACUUUGUUUUCACUUUAACCAAUGCAGAAAAUACCCUUUAAGAAUUUAAGAAUGUUGAUGAAUUGAUGGUCCGUUCAAUAAACUCACGAACUGAAAUAAAAAAGCACUCAUACAUACAUAAAUAAAAAUAUUUAAGAACAUAAGUUUUUUUAAAUAAGAAAAAAAUAGAAGAUAGAUUAAUCUUAAACAUCCAUCGCCCGUCGGAACUCUCGGACCAAUAAACAAAGUGACGGAGAUCGUCUGAUAUGUGGCUUCUUGAUUGAUUCGUGGAUCCUGUACCACCUGCAGGCAGAUGGCGGAGAGGCGGAGGAGCUACUCUUGCUCUCGGCCGUGGAGACUAGCAAUGGUGGCGGCGGCGCACACACCGCGGCAGAGGAGUCAUAGCUGAAUCGGGUCGUUGACUCGUCGAGGUGGAGGCGCGCAGCCGAAUCGUCGGGGUCGAGCGUCGCCACAUCAGGUCGUAUACCAGGUAAACUAAUCGGUCGGGUUAUAGCUGGGCCCCAGGGUAUGUCGUGGCCCACCCGGCAUACCCUGUAGGUCCGUCCCUGAUUCUCACAGCCUCGACACCCUCUCCGCCAUCGCCGCCGUCUUCUUGAUCUCUCUAAGCUGAAUCGAACUUUGCCAGCAAACAAUGUUGAUGUUUUUGGCUGUGUGCUUUGCGAGGGCAGGGUGUGUGAUGCCCUUUUAUAGUGAUCAUCCGAUAGAGCUGUGCUUGCUCGAUAUAUAUAUAUAUAUAUAUAUAUAUAUAUAUAUAUAUAUAUAUAUAUAUAUAUAUAUAUAUAUAUAUAUAUAUAUAUAUAUAUAUAUCUCUCUCUCUCUCUCUCUCUCUCUCUCUCUCUCUCUCUCUCUCUCUCUCUCUCUCUCUCUCUCUCUCUCUCUAUAUAUAUAUAUAUAUAUAUAUAUAUAUAUAUAUAUAUAUAUAUAUAUAUAUAUAUAUAUAUAUAUAUAUAUAGAGAGAGAGAGAGAGAGAGUUGUAGAUAAUGAGCAUAAGAGAGAGAGUCAUAAUACUGUCUCUUUCGUUUCUUUUUCUUUAAAUUCUCAAAGUGAUUUUUUUUAUUUCGGAGGUAAAAUUAUUAUGCCAUAAUGGACCGUAGGGUUCAGGGUUAUAGGGCAUGUUGCUCGUGGAUUUAACUGGCUAAUUUUUCAUAUGGCAAUUGUUCGUCGACUUAAUUAGCUAAUCUUGUAUUGUGUGCAUGUGUAUUGACGGUACUGAAGCUAGGAAUUAUGGACAAGCUAAGGUGAGGCAAGGAUUAAGCUGUAAAAAUCAAUUUUAAAGCUAAUAAGGUCCUUGAAAUAUAGGGUGAUGAAAUGCAAAUAUUGAAACCAUGUGGUGGUAAAUUGCAAUUCAAUUCAUCGCUCUUUGUGUUUUGUUUUCUUGGCUCACUUUUAAUCAAUUUGUAUAUAUAUCACUAAAAGAAAAUGUUCAUAUUUUAGAUUAAUGAGAGACCAAGUUGACAUGUGCCUUGGUCUAUUUGUGAUGAGUGAUUGACUGGAUGAUUUGAGGCUUUACCGGUUGAGUCCAUAUUUCAUAUGUGCAUAUUUAUACUGACGGCUACCCGAAGGUGUUGUGUUGAGUGCGUCGUGGUGUGGUGUGUGUAAAACAUAUCUUGUGUGUUGUGUCUCUUGGCUUGUGAUGUGCAGGUGUAGGAUGAGACAUGGCGGUCGACAGCAUGAGGUGAAGGUGAAGCGAAAGGUUCAUGCCGAUGUACUAGGGCUGUGAAGGGUGGACGCGAGAAGGCUUGGACCGAGGGACCCGAGGAAUCCAAGCGGAGUCAUGGGCGAUUCAAAUGGUUCAUGGAAGAGCAAGAGUACACGAACGGUGAUAGAGACGGCGUCGGUCGAGUCAAGCAGGACGGAGGCAGGUCUAGUAGGCGGCCCGGAAGCCGGGAGCGAAAGACUUAGAGGAGUCGAAGGCUUGGCGGAGGCUGGACACACGUCAACAUCGGUGAGUCACGCCUUGCAAGGCGUGCGAGAGGGUUUGACCGGUUUGGCCGCAAAACCGGGGGAAGUGUCCGGUGCAGCUGGACGGCGUCGAGUCAGAGGAUGCAUGGCACUAUCACGAAACUUGCAUCGAGGCGAAGCGAAGUCGUGAAGGCGUCGGGUCCGUCCGAUGUACGAGGAAAAAGUUGGAUGAUUUUACCCCUGGGAAUAUUCGAGUUGUGUGCUUCAUGUAAGGGCAUUCUGACCAUUUUCCGGAUGCCUAUAUAUAUGCGGAGAGGGCUGUUGGGCAGCCACAACUUUUUGGGGGGUUUUGGUGGUGGGCUUCUCAUUUAUUUGUGAGAGCCUUUGGGUGUGAGAGAGGGAGGGAGAGGAGUGGAUCUUUGAUUUGAUCUUUUUGCCAUCUUAGCUUUGUUGGUGCCUAAGAGUGGCUUGUAACUGGACAUGGUGAAAGAAUCCACGAAUCAAUUUCGUGCUCAUUGCUUCUCCUUAUCAAGAUCUGAAAGUUAUCUUUUUUCCUAUUUUCGGAGCAUUUUUGGAUGAGUUUUCGGAUCUCGUGAUUGGCAACGAUUUGGGUUUUUUUUUGAGCAAAUCGGUGCUAGGACAUGUACAAGAACAUCUAGAAUGACCCCUAGCAAAUCCAUGCACGAGCAUCUCGGAUUUUGAGAUUUCCAAAAAAUUCCCACUCUUGUGUUCUUGGACAAAUCCGCAAAAUCGAAGGUGAAAUCUUGAUCUUUUUGGGAAGAUCAUUCGAGCAAAGAUUCCCCACAUGUAUUUUCAUCUAUGGCUAUGAUCUUGUUGGAUUUGGACCACAUUUGAUUUGUAUUUCAAGAUGGGAUCUUUGAGCUUGUUCUUGAGUUCUUCUCCUUUUUCUAGCUUCUUCAAAAAUCAUGAAUCUAGUGAUAAAUGCAUGGGAUUUUUGAAGUGAGCCUUUGCGAAUAGCCUUGUAUGUUGUUGUGAGUCUAUGGUUCAAAUUUCGUGAUUUUUGGAGGUCGUUAGAUCGAGUUUCGGAUUUUUCCGACUUCUUCAUGCAGGCUGUUUUUGGAGCUGCGGAAUAUUCCGAAGAAUUUUCCGGAAAAUUCCAUAGGUUUCCGAAGAGUUUUCCGGAAAAUUCCAUAGGUGCGGAAAAUUCCGAAGAGUUUUCCGGAAAUUUUGUAGGUGCGGAUUCUCCGGAAGUUGCGUAAUAUUCCGAAGAGUUCUGCGGAGUUUCCGUACUUUUGUGUUGGUUUUUGAGGGAACCUAUCGGGGAUAGAUCCUCAGUACCCACAAGGAAGGAAGAAGGUGGAUUCCUACAAGAAUUCCUCUAUAAUCCUACUAGGACUCAUACCAUGUAAUCCUACUAGGACUCCUCUUUGUAACCGACUAGUUAUCCCACCCCCUGAAGUAUAUAAAGGAGGGCAGGGUACCUAGAUCGGCGGAGACAACAAAGGACCAAAUCCUCAUACCUCACAUUCCAAGCGCAGGGCGCAAUAUACAACAUCUCAAACAGGACGUAGGGUAUUACACUACUCUGGCAGCCCCAACAUUUAUAAAUCUGUGUCUUGUGUCCUCGCUUUUACCUUCAAGUUCUAGGUUCGGCGAUUCUCCACCAACCAAUCUACUACCUUGGGUACCCCUUCGGUAGGUUACCGGUAUAAAACACUGACAUCUGGCGCGCAAGGUAGGGGUGAUCCUCAAGAUCAUUGAGCGAGCUUGAAGGACCUCAUCAUCAAGAUCAAUCUCCUUAGUGCAGCACAGAACCCAAAGCUAAUUCCGUGUUGCGGGCGGGCGAUGCGUCGAUUUUUUGCGGCGGCGUCACGCCGAUACGGAGUCGAUGCGCUCUGUGUUCUAGUCGAAAGCAGAACAAGACAGCACCGUCAAGAAGGCAAAUUGCUAUGCGCGGGCAGCACGCGACGAACCAACUUGCAUGCAUAUCGAGGCGGAGGAUAUCCAUCAAUUCCGUAACCGAGUCCGAAGCGGAAACUACUCGUGACUUCGCUGAUCCAUGAAAAGAAGAGAAAAGCCGCGUAAGUAUCGAGACAGGACAGAGCAAUAAUAUGUGGCCGGUUAAAAUUCAGAAAUUCCUGCUGCACGCAAGUUCUACCAUGAAAUUUUAGGCUUUGCUACAUGCACACGAGGGCUACCACGAAGCUUCAAGAUUCCUCGCUGCCUAAGAUGUACAUGAGCGCUACUACACUGACGUCCAGCCACAUCGACUCUCGCCGACAACAGCCUCGACUACUCGUCUCGGCUAGAAACUAGUUGGGAGAAACAUCACACCAUCGACUAUUUCGACCAAUCAUCUCGACUAGAAAACUAGUCGAGGACGGUCUACUUCGACUACUUGUCUUGACUAGAAAACUAGUCAAGGACGGAGACGGACUACUUCGACUAGUCAUCUCAACUAGAAAACUAAUCGAUGGCGGGUUCCACGUGAUCAACAACUAGUCGGAAUCGACUCCGACUAGCUGGCUUCAUCAACAAUCAACAUGGCUUCAUCGACAAUCGUCCACAAAUCAAGCUAAGUCACUUUUCUAAUUAUUUUCCGGCUUGUUUUCCGCAUGCAAGGCAACGCGCUGACUACCUAUUUGUGUACGCCUCUCAACGGGAAUUACCUUACAGAGCUACACUUUGCUAACUAUUCCUGGGGCAUGUUGACCGAUAGACAGGCUUGGUACACCAAAUUACGGAGGCUACGGCCAUGAGUUUGGUGCACUGAUUUAUGGAGGUACUGUCAUGGGUUUGGUACAUUGAACUUUGGAGGCAAUAGCCACAAAUUUGAUGCACUAAAUACUGGAGGCUCACGACGGCUACACCCUAAGGAGGCACAAAUCUUAUGCGCACAACACGUGCUCUACUCGCCGGAGGGCAGCAAACUCUUGGACGAAAUCACGCAGUGUCUUUUGUUGCAAUACCAACUACUCAUUUUUUGUCUUCUCUUAAGGUCACUAAUCUUCUCGAGCAGAACACGCCUUAAUUCGUGAAAGCCUCGGAUCAUAUGUCAUGCCUAAAUGCUAGCACACAUACAUGAGACAGAGAUCUCAGCUGUGCAAACAGCAGUGCCCAUAUGCAUACAAGAGACAAGGAUCUCGCCACGCAGUGGCUAUGGCUAAACAGAGACCGAGAGCCUAAACGCAACAGGAUAACUACUCGGGAGGAAUAUAGCCUAAAUAAGAGCAUGACAAAAAAAUAUUUUAUGUUGAUCACUGAAUAAAUUUAAGUAGUUUUCAAUAUUCGACAAAUAUGCUACAUAAUGUAUGCAUCUUUUCUUUCAGGUCAAGCUUCGACGAGGACGCUCCAGGACGCUAAGCGUAUCUCCAAAGGCACAGCUAGUUCCUUUGUAAUCCUACUAGGACUCAUACCACGUAAUCCUAUUAGGACUCCUCCUUGUAACCGACUAGUUAUCCCACCUCCUGGAGUAUAUAAAGGAGGGUAGGGGUACCUAGAUCGGUAGACACAAUAGAGGACCAAAUCCUCAUACCUCAACACCCAAGUGUAGGGUGCAAUAUACAACACCUCAAACAGGACGUAGGGUAUUACGCUACUCCGGUGGCCCCAACCUGUAUAAAUCCGUGUCUUGUGUCCUCUCUUUUACCUUCAAGUUCUAGGUUCGGCGAUUCCCCACCAACCAAUCUACUACCUUGGGUAACCCUCGAUAGGUUGCUGGUAGAAAACACCGAUAGAACCUGAGCAAUGGUUGGAGAUGGGGCCGCACGUGAGGCCUGAGUGGAGCCACGGGGGAGGCCAGUGGCGGCCGGAGAUGGGGCCGCAUGCGAGGCCCGAGCGGAGCCGCGGGGGAGGCCGAGCGGUGGCCGGAUAUGGGUGAGUGUGGGAGGCCCGAGCAGAGCCGCGGGGGAGACUGAGCGGCGGAUGAAGAUGGGGCCGCACGCGAGGCCUGAGCGAAGCCACGGGGGAGUUUGAGCGGCGGCUGGAGAUGGGGAGCACAGGAGACCUAGCGGAGCCGUGAGGGAGACCGAGCGGAGCCACGAGGGAGACCGAGCGGCAGCUAUAGAUGGGGGAGCGCGCGAGGCCCGAGCGGAGCCAUGGGGGAGAUCGAGUGGCGGCCGGAGAUGGGGGAGUGCGCGAGGGGAGAGGUGGCCGGGCGUGCCCAGGCAGAGGGGAGGCGGGUUGCGGAGGGGAGGGGAGCGGUGCGGAAUCGGUGGGAUUUUUCCCAAAGUGAUGGGAGGGCCGAUUGUGCGCCGCAAUGCAUUCCUUUGCUGCGGGAAAAAUCGCUGUGUGUGGAAGCGGUCGAGAAUUCCGCCGUUUGGGUGCUUGCUCGAUUAUUUUCACGAGAAUCGGCUGGAGAAGCUGAAACAAACAACCCCCCAAUCUCUUUUUCCAACACUUGUUUUGGUUCUUUCUCGCUUCCGUUAGUCACUAAUUUGGUUCCUAGCACCAUUCCUAGGUCCAUUAGCUCUUGCAUAGCUAAGGGGACUUGAUAUUGCUAGAAGAGGUUUGUGGAUUGGUUUGGGACUUUAGCCGAGGUUCUUUGAAGAAAUUUGAAUCGGCUCCCAUUCACCCCCUUUGGUCGCCCAUUCCGGUCCUUCAAUUACUUAGAUAUUAUUAGGGUAUGUUGUUCGGUUCUUAUCAUGAUAAGUAUUAACAGUGCACCUAAUAAAUAAAGCAACAUAUAAAGUUAUAAACUAUGACAUCAUUAUCACCAUCAGAAAAUAUAUAUAGUCAUGGACGCAUAGUUCUCCAUUCAUGCAUGUGUCCAUGUCCAUUUGUUAAAGUGGUGAGCGUAUCCAGCAUGCAUAGUGGAUAAAGUUUAAAACAAAUUAAAUGGGGCCUAGCAAGAUACAAGAGGAAUAUUGGGAUUUUUUUUAUGCCUGCCACUGCAAAAAAAAAUGGAAUCUCUCCAAAGCUUGAAAGAUUCCCAAGUUUAUGAUAAGGUUUGAAUCUGGCAUUUCUUUAUUUCUAUCUCAAGACCUGGGCCACGUAUAGCAGCAUUGGAAGAUGUUGCAUGUUAAUAAUUAAGUUAGUUGGUUACUCAAGCAAUAUACAAGCAUGAACUAAUUAAUUUUACAAACACCGGCCUGGGUCCUUUAUCUGGCAAAUUCACCAGAGGGGAAGAAGUGGGAUUUUACAUUUUGUGAAGAAAUUAACAAAUAGAUUUAUGGUCUCAGUAUGUUUUAGAUAUACAAAUUAAGAAUUUAUUGUUCAAGUAUUUAGCUAUUAGCUCAAGCAGAUGAUGUGCGUAGUCUAUCGUCAAUUAAUAUAUGCAUGGAUCAACAAUGGAGUCCACAAUUAGUUGACGGUUUGAAUGGCAACACCGUACCAUAUAGAUUACUUGUCACAGCUCACAAACUAGGCAUAUAUCAGAAAAUGAAAGAAUAAGCAAGACUACACCUCCAGCCCCUCUGUCGGCAAAAACAAUAUUGAAAGUGAAGUGCAAAAUAUGCAUGUACACAUGUCUCUAAAAAAGAAGGAAAACUACCCAUCAUGCGGCUUCCCAAAGUUGGAAUGCCUAAUGUUUUGUUCUAUUUUCUUGUGCUUCCAAUCCUAUUGAACCAUAGCCAUGCAUCAAAGGGAAAUAAACUAGUUCUCAUGAAUAAAUUUGUUGCUAGCAGUACAUAUAUCAUUUUCUAUAUAUAUUUAUACUGAGCCAAUAAUUUACUUUAAUAAGACAUAAAAUCUUAAUUAGAGCAAGUCAGUAGGAUCCCAUCUUGGGUAAAUGAAAUAUGUCCCUGACAAACUUUGGCAAUUGUUUCCCAAUUUUGUGUUCGGUGUUAACAACUAGUUCUUCACUAUAUUGAAUUUAUAUAUGAUCCAAUCUAGUUUUACUCAAACAGUAGGUUCCAUUUGUACAAAAUAUAUGUAUGUGUGCCAUCUUAGUGUAUUAUUUAAGCAAAAUCAUAAAAAAUAAAACUAAAACCAAAAUACAUAGUACGAUAUCGAUCCAUGACAAUGCAUGAUAUCCACUACGAAGUUGAAGCAUGGAUUCGAUCAUACAUGCAUGCAUAAAACACGCAAUCAAGUAUAUAUAUGUACAACUCCAACAUCAGUACCCACGCACUGAUUAAACGGUUGUUGCAUGUAAUAGAAUCAAAUCAAACAAAAUUCUUCUAAAAAACACAGUUACAAAAGUCAGAGUUAAAGUUAUUAUAUUCAACAUUAGGGCAUCCACCCUAGCAACCAUACAGGAAUUGGGCUCUCCCAUAGCUCACAAUGUGGCAUCCAACAGGCCACACCUUUGGCUGGGUUGCUCUGAUCUUCACAUUCCAAUGUGGUUCCAGAAUCUUGAAAAUAAAGCCAUAUUAUUCCUACAUAUAAAAAUAUAGUAUAGUCACCAAGUAGCUAGAUGCAUCUCUCUCUCUCUCUCUCUCUCUCUCUCUCUCUCUCUCUCUCUCUCUCUCUCUCUCUCUCUCUCUCUCUCUCUCUCUCUCUCUCUCUCCACACUAUUACCUCACAAGGUUUGAUUGUACGUAUGUUGCAUGCGUGUGAUGCUGCGAUCCGAGACCGAUUUGCAAUCUAUUAUACCAUGCAUGCACAUGUGUCACCUUUAUAUCCAUCUGUCCCUAUAUAUACUAGACCUAUCACGUAAAAUGGCUUUAAUAGUUAGAUUUAUUGUUGCUUUUUCCAGAAAAACAUGUUCUAUAUUUUGAUUAAGAAACAUUUCUACCAAAAUUUGUCGAUGGACGACCUCAUUUUUAACAUUAUAAUCAUGAGAUAAAAUGAUUCAGGCAUAAUAACCUCUGUGGUGACCUUUGUUUGCCUCAAUGGAUUUAAGUUAUAUAGUACCAAACCAAGCAACUCAUCAACAAGUGACUUGUAAUGUAAUUGAGCUAAACUUGUUGGGAAAAUCUAUAUUCUUGAACUUCUGAUGAAACUAUUGCAGCAUUAAUAUAUGUGGAUAUAUGUAAUCACUAUUAUAUAGUCGAUGCAUGAAAACAAUUUAUGUGCUGCUCUAAUCUUUAAUUUAAUUUUUCAAUCUUGAUAGCUUUCAGAUAAAUUGCAUUUAAUGAUCGAACUCAACACUGAGUCACUGAAGUUUGCAAAUGUAACUCCAUGUGAAUGAUCCUUCAACCAAAAAUUGAAUACACACUGGGGCUGCUCUUAGAACAUUGGUCCAGAAACCUGACAAAAAAAAUCAUCUAUUAUUCUAAACUUGUAAGAACUUAUAUUAUCACGAUGUACUAUUAUAAAUUUACAGGACACAAAAUCAAAAUUCAAGAAUAGAGAUACAUAUAACUGGUCGUCUGUAACCAAGUCAUGCUAACAAAUUAGAUCUAUCAACAUAAUGCAUGUGAUGGGAAACAGCAUCAAGAACCAGCUAGCUUAUGUAUAUAUCAACAUUAUUUUUAUUUAAAACAAGCAUAGUGCGUAGCUGAUUAGAACACACAACCAAACACAAGUAGGUUAUGACCAAUAUGAGCAAAUGCAUGCUUUGAAAUCUUGUAUACAUUCAUUGCACAUACCACACAUCAUACAUACAAACAAAACUCUCAUACAUGUAUUGAUAUUCAUAAGCCCGUCGAAAAAGGGCGAUUGAUCAGUACACGCAUGUACUAUUACAAAGUUAGAAAAAAACAUCAAAAAAGAAGAGGAAGGCCAUCUCUCUCGCUCACUAGCUUCUGCAAGGCAUGAAGCUAGCGAGCAGGUAGUUUGCCUUUGUUAUUCCUGUCAGAACUCAGAAGAACAGGACGGGAAAAACCUGCUCUCGACACACACACGCACGCACACACUACCAAACCUUGUACUCUUCGAUCAUGGUCUCUUUAUUUUCCGGGACGCGAAAAACCUGCCCUGCUCUCUAAACCCAGAGCGCGCCGGCGUUCAUGAGCAUGGGCACGAGCUCACCGCCGAGGUGGAGGGACAUGAUCCUGUUGGUGCCACCGACGAGCUUGCCUCCGAUGAAGACGGCAGGGACGGCGGGGCCCCUGCCGCCGAGCAUCUUGAGCAGGGCGCGCUCCAUCUCCUUGCCCCUGGGGUCGCUGUCCAGCUCGUGCACA